UACGUAGGGGGCAAGCGUUAUCCGGAUUUACUGGGUGUAAAGGGGGCGAAGACGGCGAUGCAAGCCAGGAGUGAAAGCCCGGGGCCCAACCCCGGGACUGCUCUUGGAACUGCGUGGCUGGAGUGCAGGAGGGGCAGGCGGAAUUCCUGGUGUAGCGGUGAAAUGCGUAGAUAUCAGGAGGAACACCGGUGGCGAAGGCGGCCUGCUGGACUGCAACUGACGUUGAGGCCCGAAAGCGUGGGGAGCAAACAGG
rnacentral:rRNA from 1 species